UCUCCGCCACCCCUUAACUCACCGGGGUGCGAUGGCGAGUGAGAAGGUGCCCCUGACCGUGGAUUUAGGGUUUGGGAGGAACGGGGAUGGUGAGGGAGGAAGGCGAAGGAGGUGACAAGCGGCCGCCGGAAGGGCCGCCCUGCGAUCACUGCGGCGCAGCGGCAGUCGCUGUGCUCUAUUGCCAGGCCGACUCCGCCAGGCUCUGCCUCGCCUGCGAUGUUGAUGUCCACGCCGCCAACUCUCUGGCGCAGAGGCACGCCCGCGCUCCGAUCUGUGACAACUGCACCUCCGCUCCGGCCGUCGCCCUCUGCGCGGCUGACGGCCUCGCUCUAUGUGCCGCUUGCGACGCUGAUACCCACGCGGCCUUCGGAUCUUCCACCCACCCCCGCGGGCCUCUACAGAGCUUCUCCGGUUGCCCCUCUGCGGGCGAUCUCGCUGCAUCAUGGGGCUUCGACCUCCCGGCGAAGGUCCAGCACCCGUGUGUUCCAAGCCAUUUGAUUUCCAGCGACGAGUGGUUCUCUCUUGACGCCACAUCGACCGUUGAUCCUUCAUUUUUAGAGCUUUACGUUCCGUGUCCCGAGAAACAGCAUAUUUCGAUGGCGUCCAGUGGAAAGGGGAGACACGCGUUGAUGAGGCAAUUGACUGAGCUGAUCGCGAGAGAGUCAGCAGGGACUAGCAAGCGUAGGCCUGAGACGCCGAGUAGAAAAAACAGACUUUGGGAGGAGGAGGAGGAGGAGGAGGAGGAGGAAGAAGAAGAAGAAGAAGAUGGAGAAGAAGAAGAAAAAGAACAGGAAAAUGGAUUGGAAACUGAGCCGAUAGGGUUCACUUCUUUGCUCAUGGUCGAACCCUCGCCAUGUAUGGCUCUCAGAGGGAGCAAUCGGCUUGUGCAAGGAGAAAGCUUGGUUUUGGGUCACAAUUCCAUGGAUCAUUCUCCUCAGAUAUGGGAUUUUAAUUCUGGAAGGUUAAGGAAUCAGUUUGAAUACCCAUCAUUUGAAGUUGGAUUCGGUACAAAUUCCACUGGUUUUGCAAUCAAGAGUUAUGGUGAACUUCUUGCAGAAAGUUCGCUUGGAGCUACAGACCAAACAAUAGAGGAUAUAUGUGAGACAAACUAUCAUUCAGCAAGUGAGGGACUUAUCAUGCUGCAGCUUCUAUCUGACGCAGAAACCAUUGAACACUACUGGCAUUGCUAGUGUUCCUGCUUCAUCAUCACAACUUAAUGCUUUAGGUGCAAAAAUAACAGGAAUGUUUGUACUUUUACUAAAUCAUCCAGGGAGCACCUUUCUUUGGUUAAGUAUGAAAUAGAUGCUCCUCUGAUAUCAAGUCAAUUUGGAUCCUUUAAAAGUUUCUUGAAAAUUGUUAAUUUUUAAUUUAAUUUGGCUUCAACUUGAUUCAAAUUCCAUUCUUGAUCUCUUGCAACGAAACAAUUUAAUUCUGUUUGGAGUUUAUUUGAUCCUCAAAACAAUUUUUUAGCUAAGAAAUGUAGUUUAUUCACUGUUGAAAGGGUAAAAGGAGAGCCUUGGACAUCAAGAGGGUGGCCCCCCUAUCAAUUUCCCACCAUUUUCAUUUAUCUUCCUUGAACCUAAGAAAACCUGUUAACAAUUAGUCUGUUGUUAGUUAUUUCUCUAUGGAUAUUUUUUAGACUCUUUCUUAUCACUUAUGUUGGAAUCUUGUAUUCAAUUGUUAAUUGUGCACAUUUGCUUUGCUUUGGAGCUAGGCACAAUUCAUUCUGUUCUUUUGAUUCUAUUAUUGAUAGUGAACUUUCUCGUGCACGUUUCAAUCUUGGUACAAUGCAAAUUCAAGUUGAAGAACACUUGAGCUUUGAUGUUGCUAUCAAGUAGAUUGUGACAUAGUUAUCUCUUGAUUAAUAUUAUGAGAGAUCUACUCCUACACACUUUUAAAUGAUAGUUGAAGACAUCAAUCUAUAUAAAUAGAUACUAUCUUAAACUUGAGUUUGGAGUAGAGACGCCUUAAUGGACUUCCAACUGCUAGUUGGCUGGUGGGUGUUUGAGAUAUUUUCAUCAUUGAUAUCUAUCUGCCUUUUAAGUUUGCUAGUAAAUUGUAGUAUCUUAUCAUAAGCACCUAUUGUUUUCCACCAUACUUGAAUCAUGAUGCGCAACUACUGUUGGUUGCAAUAUGCCAAUUGAUAAGCUUGACUUCUUAUCCUCCUAUUUAAGACACUACAGAUUUGUUUGGAUGAUAGAAGAGAAGAUUAGUCUUCUUUUAAAGGUUUCUUGACUUGCAUUCCAUUAUUCUUUAGGGACAGAUAGUUGUAGUUGUCUCAGUAUCAUGAGUCGAUACAUUCUCUCUUCCCUUUUUCCAGCUGAAAAAGGCUGAUAUGACCAGCAGAUGUAACAAAAAUGUAAAGAAAGCAGUUGCCCAAGGCGGGUCCACCUCAGAUAUGGUUAGGCCUGUUGGUCCAUCAAAUCACUCUGGAUCUACUGGAAAUAGUAGAGAAAUGUUGAAUGCAAACAAGCAAAGUGAUGAAUAUUUGUUGGCACGAAACAGGGGCAAUGCUAUGCUUCGAUACAAAGAGAAAAAGAAGACUCGAAGAUAUGAUAAGCACAUCAGGUAUGAAUCCAGGAAGCUGAGAGCUGACACAAGGAAACGAGUGAAAGGUCGUUUUGUCAAAUCUUCUGAAGGAUAAAAUGCGGGCAAAACUCCAUUCGAGACAUUGCUGUCAAAUUUCUUUUCUUAAUUGUAAGUAUGUGAUAUAAACAGUUGUUUGUGUGGAUCUGUGUUUGAUCUUUUGGCCAAGUGCUUCAGACAAAUGCAAAUUGUACUUGAUGAGUCAUGUAGUCCUGCUUGCCUGUUUAGCUACAGCAAGUCUGCCCCAGAGGAGUGUAAAUUGAGUCUUUUCUUCCUCAUAAUACUUGAUGAGUAAUGUAGACGUGCUUGCCUGUUUAGCUACAGCAUAUCUCUCGCUGAUGACGGUAAAUUGAGUCUUCUCUUCCUCA